rnacentral:rRNA from 1 species
ACCAGACUCCUACGGGAGGCAGCAGUGGGGAAUAUUGCACAAUGGGGGGAACCCUGAUGCAGCGACGCCGCGUGGGUGAAGGAGCACCUCGGUGCGUAAAGCCCUAUCGGCAGGGAAGAAAAGCGAACAGGUUCGCCUGGACGGUACCUGACUAAGAAGCCCCGGCUAACUACGUGCCAGCAGCCGCGGUAAUACGUAGGGGGCAAGCGUUAUCCGGAUUUACUGGGUGUAAAGGGAGCGUAGACGGCAGUGCAAGUCCGGAGUGAAAGCCCGGGGCUCAACCCUGGGACUGCUCUGGAAACUGUAAAGCUGGAGUGCAGGAGGGGCAGGCGGAAUUCCUGGUGUAGCGGUGAAAUGCGUAGAUAUCAGGAGGAACACCGGCGGCGAAGGCGGCCUGCUGGACCGUAACUGACGUUGAGGCUCGAAAGCGUGGGGAGCAAACAGGAUUAGAUACCCGAGUACAA